CAAUGGGCGGGCUAUAAUGCAGUCGCGCGAGAAGUCCCGCAAGGGAUGAGUAGAGCGGCAAACGGGUGAGUAACACGUAAGUAACCUACCUCUAAAUCUGGAAUAACCUUGCCAACGCGGGGCUAAUACCGGAUGUGGCCCAUAUUUCUCAUGAAGUGUGGAUUAAAGAUGACCUCUGUUUACAAGUUAUCGUUUAGAAAUGGACUUGCGCACUAUUAGCUUGUUGGUAGGGUAACGGCCUACCAAGGCUGUGAUGGUUAGCCGGCCUGAGAGGGUGUACGGCCACAUUGGGACUGAGAUACGGCCCAGACUCCUACGGGAGGCAGCAGUAGGGAAUUUUGCGCAAUGGACGAAAGUCUGACGCAGCAACGCCGCGUGAGUGAUGAAGGUCUUCGGAUUGUAAAGCUCUGUUGAGUGGGAAGAAAAGUUUCAGGAAUAAUACCCUGAAAUUUGACGGUACCAUUCGAGGAAGCUCCGGCUAACUACGUGCCAGCAGCCGCGGUAAUACGUAGGGAGCAAGCGUUGUUCGGAAUUACUGGGCGUAAAGGGAGAGUAGGCGGGGAAAUAAGUUAGAAGUUUAAUGUAUAGGCUUAACCUGUAAUCUGCUUCUAAUACUGUUUUUCUUGAGUAUGGGAGAGGGAGAUGGAAUUCCAGGUGUAGCGGUGGAAUGCGUAGAUAUCUGGAAGAACACCAGCUGCGAAGGCGGUCUCCUGGACCAAUACUGACGCUGAUGCUCGAAAGCUAGGGGAGCAAACAGGAUUAGAUACCCUGGUAGUCCUAGCCGUAAACGAUGGACACUAGAUGCUGGAGGAGUCAAUCCUUUCGGUGUCGUAGCUAACGUGUUAAGUGUCCCGCCUGGGGAGUACGCUCGCAAGGGUGAAACUCAAAGGAAUUGACGG
rnacentral:rRNA from 1 species